AUGCACGCGCCUCCCACCCCUCUCUUCUCCCCACCAACCCUUCUUCCUCAGGCCGCCAGUUCUUCCUCAUCAGUUCUAUCCCCAGUUACUCUAUUACAACCAAUGCGCAUUCCUCCCAAAUCUUCUGCUACACUUGUUCAUCCUGUUUCAAGCGUGGAACAAAACCAAGAGGAGCUAGCUAUGGUCCUAGCUUGCCGGGUCCUGCAAGACCACAAUUUCUCCUCGUUUUCCACCUGGUGCUACCUCAGACUAACGGUCAAUCUGAGCCCGCAUUCGCUAGCUACAACCGUGACCAACCAUUGCCCACACUGGCUUAGGCUAAUGCCUGAUGGCUGA
rnacentral:rRNA from 1 species